rnacentral:rRNA from 1 species
CCAGACUCCUACGGGAGGCAGCAGUGGGGAAUAUUGCACAAUGGGGGGAACCCUGAUGCAGCGACGCCGCGUGAGUGAAGAAGUAUUUCGGUAUGUAAAGCUCUAUCAGCAGGGAAGAUAAUGACGGUACCUGACUAAGAAGCCCCGGCUAACUACGUGCCAGCAGCCGCGGUAAUACGUAGGGGGCAAGCGUUAUCCGGAUUUACUGGGUGUAAAGGGUGCGUAGGUGGCAUGGCAAGUCAGAAGUGAAAGCCCGGGGCUCAACCCCGCGGACUGCUUUUGAAACUGUCAGGCUGGAGUACAGGAGAGGUAAGCGGAAUUCCUAGUGUAGCGGUGAAGUGCGUAGAUAUUAGGAAGAACACCAGUGGCGAAGGCGGCGUGCUGGACAGUAACUGACGUUGAGGCUCGAAAGCGUGGGGAGCAAACAGGAUUAGAUACCCCCGUACUC